rnacentral:rRNA from 1 species
GAUCAUGGCUCAGGAUGAACGCUAGCUACAGGCUUAACACAUGCAAGUCGAGGGGAAACGAUAUUGGAAGCUUGCUUCCGAUAGGCGUCGACCGGCGCACGGGUGAGUAACGCGUAUCCAACCUGCCCACCACUUGGGGAUAACCUUGCGAAAGUAAGAUUAAUACCUGAUGGUAUCUUAAGCACACAUGUAAUUAAGAUUAAAGAUUUAUCGGUGUACGAUGGGGAUGCGUUCCAUUAGGUAG